UUGCUCCUUUGUUUAGCGGCGGACGGGUGAGUAACACGUGGGCAACCUGCCCUGCGGAUCGGGAUAACUCCGGGAAACCGGUGCUAAUACCGAAUAGUUUGCGGCCUCUCAUGAGGCUGUACGGAAAGACGGUUUCGGCUGUCACUGCAGGAUGGGCCCGCGGCGCAUUAGCUAGUUGGUGGGGUAACGGCCCACCAAGGCGACGAUGCGUAGCCGACCUGAGAGGGUGAUCGGCCACACUGGGACUGAGACACGGCCCAGACUCCUACGGGAGGCAGCAGUAGGGAAUCUUCCGCAAUGGACGAAAGUCUGACGGAGCAACGCCGCGUGAGUGAAGAAGGUUUUCGGAUCGUAAAACUCUGUUGUGAGGGAAGAACAAGUACCAAGUAACUACUGGUACCUUGACGGUACCUCACCAGAAAGCCACGGCUAACUACGUGCCAGCAGCCGCGGUAAUACGUAGGUGGCAAGCGUUGUCCGGAAUUAUUGGGCGUAAAGCGCGCGCAGGCGGUCCUUUAAGUCUGAUGUGAAAGCCCACGGCUCAACCGUGUAGGGUCAUUGGAAACUGGUGGGACUUGAGUGCAGAAGAGGAAAGUGGAAUUCCACGUGUAGCGGUGAAAUGCGUA
rnacentral:rRNA from 1 species